rnacentral:rRNA from 1 species
CAGGUGGUGCAUGGUUGUCGUCAGCUCGUGUCGUGAGAUGUUGGGUUAAGUCCCGCAACGAGCGCAACCCUUAUCUUUAGUAGCCAGCGGUCAGGCCGGGCACUCUAGAGAGACUGCCAGGGAUAACCUGGAGGAAGGCGGGGAUGACGUCAAAUCAUCAUGCCCCUUAUGACUUGGGCUACACACGUGCUACAAUGGCGUAAACAAAGGGAAGCAAAGC